rnacentral:misc_RNA from 1 species
AGAACUACUUUGACAUCCACUGUGCCGCCAACUCGCUUCCUUCCUUUUCAACAACCUUUUUGUCACGUAAACACUCUCUUCGAGUCUUGACGCAGCUUCGCACGUCACACAUACGCGCACACACGCACGCAAGCACACCAUCGCACAAUUAAAAAUAGUUGCCGGCCUUGUCUUUCCGGUUUUAUUGAAAAUACAAGAUAAACAAAAAAAACACCAGAUUUAUCAUCAUCGCAGGCCACCAUGUCUCACCUUCCGAUCAAGUGGGCGGAGCGCAAGGAUCGCCUGUUCAUCACGGUCGAGGCGAGCACCCCCACUGACGUCCAGGUGAACUUCCAGGAGAAAACGGUGUCCAUCUCCGGCAACGGUAUCACCGCCAAGGGCAGCCAGCCGCACGCUCUCAAGGAUGAGCUGCACCUCCUCAAGGAGAUUGUUCCGGAGGAAUCGACAUUCAAGGUGCUUGGCAUGGCAAUUCAGAUCUGUGCCAUAAAGAAAGAGCAGGGUUACUGGAACCGUCUGGUUGAUGAGUCCACCAAGGCCACUAAGAGCUGGCUCUCCGCCGACUGGAACCUUUGGAAGGACGAGGACGACGAGGCUGAGGAGGUGGCCGCCGCGUCCAACUUCGGCGGGUACGGCGACAUGGGUGGCAUGGACAUGGCAUCUAUGAUGGGCGGCAUGGGCGGUAUGGGUGAUAUGGACAUGGAGUCAAUGAUGGCCUCCAUGGGCAAGGACGCGGGCGGCGAUUCCGACGACGAGGAGCUGGACGACGACGGGGCCGAGAUGGCCGACGGCGAGUGCACGGAGGAGGAACCGGCAGCAGACAUCAGCGAUCUCAACGCGUAAGAGAACCGGCCGUCACCGUGACAUCCCCCCUUAUUCGUUUCGUCUCGCACCGUUCUCGGUUCUUUUUUUUUCGUCACUCUUUUUUUUUAUUUGGUGAGUACGAGUGUGUGCGGAGAAAAAGAGAGAAAACUUCACUUCGUAUGAAGAACGGAAAAAAAAAACGAAAAAGGAGCACGUGAUACUGCGUGCGCCGCGCCGAGGAGGAGGUCGCCAUCAGCGCAGCGCAUGUUCGACAUCGAGCAAAGGUGCGCGCUGAGGUGAUUCCCUUCUUUUUUACUUUUUAAUUUUAUUUGGCGUUCAGAAACUGUGCUGAUAGAAGGAGGAGGAGAGCACUCGUGAGAAUCGGUGCAUGUGGGAGGGGUGAGUUUUGUGGGAUUGUGCAUGCAUCCUUGAGCCUUUGCAUCUGGGUAUGAACUAUGACUGUCGCUGCUAGAAGGAGCCCCUGCAAUAGUGCCCACGGCGCCGGCACUCACGCACAUUCUCACAGCCACAAGCCCACCAGGAGCAAUGCCUUUCCUCACUAUCUGAUUUAAGAAGUCUCUGUGGUAAUUUAUAGAACAG